UACGUAGGGGGCAAGCGUUGUCCGGAUUUAUUGGGCGUAAAGAGCGUGUAGGCGGUUCGGUAGGUCCGUUGUGAAAACUCGAGGCUCAACCUCGAGACGCCGAUGGAAACCCCCGAACUAGAGUCCGGAAGAGGAGAGUGGAAUUCCUGGUGUAGCGGUGAAAUGCGCAGAUAUCAGGAAGAACACCCGUGGCUAAGGCGGCUCUCUAGUACGGUACUGACGCUGAGACGCGAAAGCGUGGGGAGCGAACAGG
rnacentral:rRNA from 2 species